AGAGUGAACGCUGGCGGUAGGCCUAACACAUGCAAGUCGAACGGCAGCACAGUAGGAGCUUGCUCUUACGGGUGGCGAGUGGCGGACGGGUGAGGAAUACAUCGGAAUCUACCUUUUGGUGGGGGAUAACGUAGGGAAACUUACGCUAAUACCGCAUACGCCCUUCGGGGGAAAGCCGGGGACCAGCAAUGGCCUGGCGCUGAUAGAUGAGCCGAUGUCGGAUUAGCUAGUUGGUGAGGUAAUGGCUCACCAAGGCGACGAUCCGUAGCUGGUCUGAGAGGAUGAUCAGCCACACUGGAACUGAGACACGGUCCAGACCUCCGUAACGGGAGGCAGCGAGGUGGGG
rnacentral:rRNA from 1 species